rnacentral:tRNA from 1 species
CUCUAGGAAGCUAAAUAUGGGUUAAGCAUUAGCCUUUUAAGCUAAAAAUUGGUGACUCCCGACCACCCCUAGUGA